rnacentral:rRNA from 1 species
GACGAACGCUGGCGGCGUGCUUAACACAUGCAAGUCGAACGGAAAGGCCCUGCUUUUGUGGGGUGCUCGAGUGGCGAACGGGUGAGUAACACGUGAGUAACCUGCCCUUGACUUUGGGAUAACUUCAGGAAACUGGGGCUAAUACCGGAUAGGAGCUCCUGCUGCAUGGUGGGGGUUGGAAAGUUUCGGCGGUUGGGGAUGGACUCGCGGCUUAUCAGCUUGUUGGUGGGGUAGUGGCUUACCAAGGCUUUGACGGGAAGCCGGCCUGAGAGGGUGACCGGCCACAGUGGGACUGAGAUACGGCCCAGACUCCUACGGGAGGCAGCAGUGGGGAAUAUUGCACAAUGGGCGGAAGCCUGAUGCAGCAACGCCGCGUGCGGGAUGACGGCCUUCGGGUUGUAAACCGCUUUCGCCUGUGACGAAGCGUGAGUGACGGUAAUGGGUAAAGAAGCACCGGCUAACUACGUG